rnacentral:rRNA from 1 species
UACCAGCUCUCCGAGUGGUGUGGAUGUUUAUUGGGCCUAAAGCAUCCGUAGCUGGCUGGGCAAGUCCCCUGUUAAAUCCACCGAUUUAAUCGUUGGUGUGCGGGGGAUACUGUUCGGCUAGGGGACGGGAGAGGCCGACGGUAUUUUCGGGGUAGGGGUGAAAUCCUAUAAUCCCGGGAAGACCACCAGUGGCGAAGGCUGUCGGCUAGAACGCGCCCGACGGUGAGGGAUGAAAGCUGGGGGAGCGAACCGGAUUAGAUACCCGGGUAGCCCCAGCUGUAAACGAUGCAGGCUAGGUGUUUGGGCGGCCACGUGCCGCUCUAGUGCCGCAGAGAAGUCGUUAAGCCUGCCGCCUGGGGAGUACGGCCGCAAGGCUGAAACUUAAAGGAAUUGGCGGGGGAGCACCACAAGGGGUGAAGCUUGCGGUUU